AUUGAACGCUGGCGGCAUGCCUUACACAUGCAAGUCGAACGGUAACAGGUCUUCGGAUGCUGACGAGUGGCGAACGGGUGAGUAAUACAUCGGAACGUGCCCAAUCGUGGGGGAUAGCUCGGCGAAAGCCGGAUUAAUACCGCAUACGAUCUACGGAUGAAAGCAGGGGAUCGCAAGACCUUGCGCGAAUGGAGCGGCCGAUGGCAGAUUAGGUAGUUGGUGGGGUAAAGGCUCACCAAGCCGACGAUCUGUAGCUGGUCUGAGAGGACGACCAGCCACACUGGGACUGAGACACGGCCCAGACUCCAGCGGGAGGCAGCAGUGGGGAAUUUUGGACAAUGGGCGCAAGCCUGAUCCAGCAAUGCCGCGUGCAGGAUGAAGGCCUUCGGGUUGUAAACUGCUUUUGUACGGAACGAAAAAGCUCUGGCUAAUACCCGGGGCUCAUGACGGUACCGUAAGAAUAAGCACCGGCUAACUACGUGCCAGCAGCCGCCGUAAGAC
rnacentral:rRNA from 1 species